AAGACCUUGCGCUUUUGGAGCGGCCGAUGUCUGAUUAGCUAGUUGGUGGGGUAAUGGCCUACCAAAGCUUCGAUCAGUAGCUGGUCUGAGAGGACGGCCAGCCACACUGGGACUGAGACACGGCCCAGACUCCUACGGGAGGCAGCAGUGGGGAAUUUUGGACAAUGGGCGCAAGCCUGAUCCAGCCAUGCCGCGUGAGUGAAGAAGGCCUUCGGGUUGUAAAGCUCUUUCAGCCGGGAAGAAAAGGCUGCGACUAAUAAUCGCAGUUCAUGACGGUACCGGAAGAAGAAGCACCGGCUAACUACGUGCCAGCAGCCGCGGUAACACGUAGGGUGCGAGCGUUAAUCGGAAUUACUGGGCGUAAAGGGUGCGCAGGCGGUUUUGUAAGUCAGAUGUGAAAUCCCCGGGCUUAACCUGGGAACU
rnacentral:rRNA from 1 species